UACUGCUUAUUAGGCAUAUGAGACUCACAUGAAACUUGGAGGUUUUUAUUGAUGACAAAAGGUACAGUUAAAUGGUUCAACGCUGACAAAGGUUUCGGUUUUAUUUCUGUUGAAGGUGGAGACGAUGUAUUCGUUCACUUCUCCGCAAUCACAGGAGACGGUUUCAAGUCCUUAGAUGAGGGUCAGCGAGUUGAAUUCAACAUUACUCAAGGUCAACGUGGCGCACAAGCUGAGAAUGUUGUAAGACUGUAAUCUUAUUAUAGAGACUAGCAACUGCUCUUAUGAGUGGUUGCUUUUU
rnacentral:other from 1 species